rnacentral:lncRNA from 1 species
UCCAAACAAUAUUCCAAAUAAUAUUCCAAAUAAUCCAAAGUUCCAAUUAAUUCCAAGUUUAUAUAAUAAUCCAAAGUAUUUACAUAAUUAUCACAAUAUUUUUUUUUAAAAUUAAAAUAUAUAACAUGCCCAAAAGUUCUGUUACAGCUAGGAAGUUGAAAAGUUAGAGAUAAGCUAUAAAAUACAGCAGUUUGAAGCAACUCUUCAAAAGACUUUUCCAAAAGCUUCUUGAAAUUCCCAAGCGCCCAAUUCCAAUCCCUAAUUACAGGGCCCCAAAUCCAAAAGUAGACCACUUUUCAAUCAAUGUCCAUUCACUUUUUGCAAACCUGCAAAACCAAUUCAUAAUUUAAAAACAGCUUAUCAAAUAAGCACUUAAAAAACUGAAAAAUAAAUGAUAAAGUAAGCAGAUUAAUUGGUUACACAGUAAACCAAGGAGAANAAUCCAUAUGCUUCUUGUUCGUUACUGCAAAACAAUUAAAACCCCUAUAUUAAUUGCUUCAAACCGUGACUAUUGAAGGUUGAAUCGCGAAUUUAGGUUUAGGUUUUUUUUCUUAUUUUCUUACCGCUGAUCCGGUUGAUUGAAGAGGGUUUUGAAAAAACUGAGGCCGAAUUUAGAAUAUCUGGCCAAAAACAAGUGGGAUUCGUGUUUUAAAGUUUGGGUUUGGGGUGAAGAGUCGCCGGAGAAGAGGGCGGCGCCGCCGCGAUUGGCCGGCCGCCACCGUCUUCUCCGGCAGGUUUGGCCGUGAGGAGAGUGACGGAGAAGAAGAAGAAAUUGCAGAGCAACUUUAUUUCAGAAGUGAAGAGAGAGAACGAGAGGAGCAAAUGAGGCUCU